rnacentral:rRNA from 4 species
AUACGACUGUCGGCAACGGAUAUCUAGGCUCUCGCAUCGAUGAAGAACGUAGCAAAAUGCGAUACUUGGUGUGAAUUGCAGAAUCCCGUGAAUCAUCGAGUUUUUGAACGCAAGUUGCGCCCGAAGCCAUU